AUUAGGAAUGAGGAUAUCCAAGGUAAAAUAUGAGUAGCCGAAAUUGAAAGAAAGAUGAGAGAAAAUCGGUUACGGUGGUUUGGACUGUGCAAAGAAGGCCUAUUGACGCUCCGGUUAGAAGAUGCAGCUAUGGGAUAGAGGUCCAGGGCCGAAGAGGUAGAGGAAGACCUGGGAAAACUUUGGAAGAGACUGUAAGAAAAGACUUAGAGUACUUGAAUCUAACGGAGGACAUGACACAGAACUAACUGAGCGCAAUGGCGUUCUAGGAUUCAUAUAGCCGACCCCACUUAGUAGGAAAAGGCUUUGUUGUUGUUGUUGUUUGUUGUUGUUGUACUUAUGGGACCCUCUAAUUGUACUACAUGAAAUUAUGUAGAAGCCCUAUCAGACAUGCUAUACUGUCAGACGUUGUCUUACUCAUAUAUCCUCUUGUAGGAUUGUAAGUUCAACAAACUGAAGAGGAAACGCAGGAAGAACAAACCUAUAUCUUUAACCAGGAAAACUCUGGCGGUCAAAGCUCAAGGCCGCUGCCUGUGAAUCUGGGUAAAGAAAGAGAGGAAACCGCCAACCCUAUGGAAAGCAAUGAUACUGGGAAGGACACUGAAGCUGGUGAGGCUGGGAAGAAGAGCAUUCAAGCUGGUGACCUUGAAGCAUCAGAAGCUAUGAAAGAAUAAGGCUCCGAGGUUAUCCAUUUGUCUCUGCAGGGUGCGGAGUAUUCACCUUUCUGUUGAUUGUCGGAUUGCUCUUUUCUCCGGUUUCUUCGGAAUAAUGCAUUUCCAGUUUGGUUAAUUCCUGAAUUUACUUUGGUAUUUUAAUUUUAGUCUUGUAUGCAUUAUGGCAUGAGAGGCCAACGAUUCAUUAUAAAAACGAAUAGAAGGGACAGAUUGUUGUUUCAAUCUGAUUCGAUCCAA